GGGUAUUAUCAAAAUGACUGUACUACCAAAAGCACUAUACAGAUUUAAUGCAAUUCUGAUCAAAAUCCCAAUGACAUUACUCAUAGAAAUAGAAAAAGCAGUCAUGAAAUUCAUCUGGAAAUUCAUCAGAAUAGCUAAAGCAAUCCUUAGCAGGAAGAGUGAAGCAGGUGGCAUCACUAUACCAGACCUUAAACUAUACUAUAGAGCAAUAGUAACAAAAACAGCAUGCUAUUGGCACCAAAAUAGACUGGUAAACCAAUGGUACAAAAUAGAGGACAUAGAGAUAAACCCACAAAAUUACAAUCCUCUUAUAUUAGACAAAGCUGCCAAAAACAUGCAUUGGAAAAAAGAUAGCCUCUUCAACAAAUGGUGGUGGAAAAACUGGAAACCCCUGUCUCUCACCCUGCACAAAACUCAACUCAAAAUGGGUCAAGGACUUUAGGAAUAAAACCACAGACUCUGUAUGUAAUAGAAGAAAAAGUAUGCCCUGAUCUCCAUCAUGUGAGAUUAGGCCUCAACUUCCUAAUUAGGACUCCUUAGGUGCAAGAAUUAAAAAUUAAGAAUCAAUAAAUGGGAUGGUCUAAAAGUAAAAAGUUUCUUCUCAGCAAAACAAAGAAUUUGAAGGGAAUAGAGAGCUUACAUCUUGGGAGCAAAUCUUUACCCCUCACACAUCAGAUAGAGCACUAAUCUCUAGGGUAUAUAAAGAACUCAAAAAGCUAAGCACCAAAUACACAAUAACCCAAUCAAUAAAUGGGCCAAGGAACUGAACACACACUUCACAGAAGAUGAUAUGCAGU
rnacentral:lncRNA from 1 species